UAUAUAUGCUAGCUGAGGUAGUACUAGUACUUAUGGUACGGGUUUCCUUCUUCGACGCUGUUCACUGUUCCAUCGGCGGGCGAUCGAUCGAUCGGGUGGGGCUGGACCAUUAUUUCGCUAAUGCUUAGUUAUUUAUUUUCUCUUUUGUUUACACACGUUUAUCAACACGGUAGCAUGAAUGUGUGCUAUAACAGUUUCAAUGAGGGUUUCGUGCAUGAUAUAUAGUACCAUGCAGAUCGAUCAGCUGAGCCACCGGUACCCCUGGGAAAUGAGAAACUUCACAUGAAAUAAUACUCAACCAACGCAUACUACGUAUACAAGAAUCAGGAACAGUUCACACGUCCCAGCGGCACGCAAGACGAAACGGUGGGCGUCCAUCAAACACGUCGACAACAUGCGUGAGUCGCAGGCUCACGGCCUGAGCGCCGUAUGAACUUUACGGGAAAGCGCUAGUACAAUUUCCCAGAAGAUACGUUGUGAAGAACUUUCGGUAACCCUGUCGUGCAUGUUCUAGUC
rnacentral:lncRNA from 1 species